rnacentral:rRNA from 1 species
AACAGGAUUAGAUACCCUGGUAGUCCACGCCCUAAACGAUGCGAACUGGAGGUUGGGUGCAACUUGGCACGCAGUCUCGAAGCUAACGCGUUAAGUUCGCCGCCUGGGGAGUACGGUCGCAAGACUGAAACUCAAAGGAAUUGACGGGGGCCCGCACAAGCGGUGGAGUAUGUGGUUUAAUCGAUGCAACGCGCAGAACCUUACCUGGCCUUGACAUGUCCGGAAUCCUGCCGAGAUGCGGGAGUGCCUUGGGAAUCGGAACNCAGGUGCUGCAUGGCUGUCGUCAGCUCGUGUCGUGAGAUGUUGGGUUAAGUCCCGCAAACGAGCGCAACCCUUGUCCUUAGUUGCCUAGCGAGUGAAGUCGGGAACUCUAAGGNGACUGCCGGUGACAACCGGAGGAAGUGGGAUGACGUCAAGUCAUCAUGGCCUUACGGCCAGGGCUACACACGUACUACAAU